UACGAAGGGUGCAAGCGCUAAUCGGAAUUACUGGGCGUAAAGCGCGCGUAGGUGGUUCAGUCAGUUGGAAGUGAAAUCCCCGGGCUCAACCUGGGAACUGCUUUCAAAACUGCUGAGCUAGAGUACGGUAGAGGGUGGUGGAAUUUCCUGUGUAGCGGUGAAAUGCGUAGAUAUAGGAAGGAACACCAGUGGCGAAGGCGACCACCUGGACUGAUACUGACACUGAGGUGCGAAAGCGUGGGGAGCAAACAGG
rnacentral:rRNA from 1 species